rnacentral:misc_RNA from 1 species
CAUAGCUCAAGCAAAGACUCUAGAGCAUCUGCCCUUUGCUGACCAGGAUUCUCCCAUUCGCUUUUGGUUUCAUCACCAUGCAUUGCAGCAAGUGUAUUAAGCAAUUGAAUUUCACUUGGUGUUGGCACCUUCAUCCCACAAGCAUCAUCUUUCUCCGUUGGCAUGGAGCAAUUAUCCUUAUCUGGUUUUGCUCCAAUUUCGUCUUUACAUGGAAGGAUAUCAUUACUUUCAGAUGAUAAGUAUUCCAUAUGAGUUCCUUC